GGUAACUGUGGGGCAGCGGCCGGAGGAAUGCGAAGGGGGGGAGCGUGGUACGGGAGCACAUGGGGGAAAGCGGACGUAGGCGGAGCUUGAAGUCAGGGGUGAAAUCCCGGGGCUCAACCUCGGAACGGCCUUUGAUACUGUUGGUCUAGAGUCCGGAAGAGGUGGGUGGAAUUCCUAGUGUAGAGGUGAAAUUCGUAGAUAUUAGGAAGAACACCGGUGGCGAAGGCGGCCCACUGGUCCGGUACUGACGCUGAGGUGCGAAAGCGUGGGGAGCAAACAGGAUUAGAUACCCCUGUAGUC
rnacentral:rRNA from 1 species